rnacentral:rRNA from 1 species
AGAGUUUGAUCCUGGCUCAGGACGAACGCUGGCGGCGUGCUUAACACAUGCAAGUCGAACGAGGAACGGAUGGAAGCUUGCUUUUAUCCGUUUCGAGUGGCGGACGGGUGAGUAACGCGUGAGGAACCUGGCUUUUGCAGGGGGAUAGCGUUUCGAAAGAGACGGUAAUACCGCAUGAGACCACAAUACCGCAUGGUGCAGGGGUCAAAGGAGAGAUCCGGCAGAAGAUGGACUCGCGUCCCAUUAGGCAGUUGGCGGGGUAAAGGCCCACCAAACCGACGAUGGGUAGCCGACCUGAGAGGGUGAUCGGCCACAUUGGAACUGAGAGACGGUCCAAACUCCUACGGGAGGCAGCAGUGGGGAAUAUUGGGCAAUGGGCGAAAGCCUGACCCAGCAACGCCGCGUGAGGGAAGAAGGUUUUCGGAUUGUAAACCUCUGUCCCAGGAGACGAGAAAGAGACGGUAUCCUGGGAGGAAGCCCCGGCUAACUACGUGCCAGCAGCCGCGGUAAUACGUAGGGGGCGAGCGUUGUCCGGAAUGAUUGGGCGUAAAGGGCGUGUAGGCGGCCUGUUAAGUCUGGAGUGAAAGUCCAGGUUUCAAGCCUGGAAUUGCUUUGGAUACUGGGAGGCUGGAGUGCAGGAGAGGUUAUCGGAAUUCCCGGUGUAGCGGUGAAAUGCGUAGAGGUCGGGAGGAACACCAGUGGCGAAGGCGGGUAACUGGGACUGCAACUGACGCUGAGGCGCGAAAGUGGUGGGGGAGCAAACAGGAUUAGAUACCCUGGUAGUCCACACUGUAAACGAUGAAUGCAAGGUGUUGGAGGUAUCGACCCCUUCAGUGCCGGAGUCAACACAAUAAGCAUUCCGCCUGGGGAGUACGGCCGCAAGGUUGAAACUCAAAGGAAUUGACGGGGGCCCGCACAAGCAGCGGAGCAUGUGGUUUAAUUCGACGCAACGCGAAGAACCUUACCAGGUCUUGACAUCCAUUACAAGGUGCAGAGAUGCACUGUGAGGCAACUCAAAGAAUGAGACAGGUGGUGCAUGGUUGUCGUCAGCUCGUGUCGUGAGAUGUUGGGUUAAGUCCCGCAACGAGCGCAACCCUUGUUUGCAGUUACUAACGCGUAAAGGCGAGGACUCUGCAGAGACUGCCGGGGACAACUCGGAGGAAGGUGGGGACGACGUCAAAUCAUCAUGCCCCUUAUGACCUGGGCUACACACGUGCUACAAUGGCCGUAACAAAGAGGAGCGAGCCCGAGAGGGUAAGCGGAUCUCAAAAAAGCGGUCUCAGUUCGGAUUGUGGGCUGCAACCCGCCCACAUGAAGUCGGAGUUGCUAGUAAUCGCGGAUCAGCAUGCCGCGGUGAAUACGUUCCCGGGCCUUGUACACACCGCCCGUCACACCAUGGGAGUUGAUAGCACCCAAAAUAUGUGAGGUAACCGCAAGGAGCCAGCAUCCUAAGGUGAGAUCAAUGACUGGGGUGAAGUCGUAACAAGGUAGC